rnacentral:rRNA from 1 species
CCUACGGGAGGCAGCAGUGGGGAAUAUUGGGCAAUGGGCGCAAGCCUGACCCAGCAACGCCGCGUGAAGGAAGAAAGCUUUCGGGUUGUCAACUUCUUUUAAGAGGGAAGAGCAGAAGACGGUACCUCUUGACUAAGCAACGGCUAACUACGUGCCAGCAGCCGCGGUAAUACGUAGGUGGCAAGCGUUGUCCGGAUUUACUGGGUGUAAAGGGCGUGUAGCCGGGCUGACAAGUCAGAGGUGAAAUCCGGGGGCUCAACCCCCGAACUGCAUGUGAAACUGUUGGUCUUGAGUAUCGGAGAGGCAGGCGGAAUUCCUAGUGGAGCGGUGAAAUGCGUAGAUAGUAGGAGGAACACCAGUGGCGAAGGCGGCCUGCGGGACGACAACUGACGGUGAGGCGCGAAAGCGUGGGGAGCAAACAGGAUUAGAUACCCCUGUAGUC